rnacentral:tRNA from 1 species
GGGAUUGUGGCUCAGCGGUAGAGUUCAUGCCCGGCACGUAUGAGGCCCUGGGUUUGAUCCUCAGCCCCA